rnacentral:rRNA from 1 species
UACGUAGGGGGCAAGCGUUGUCCGGAUUUAUUGGGCGUAAAGAGCGUGUAGGCGGCCUUACAGGUCAGCUGUGAAAACUCGAGGCUCAACCUCGAGACGUCGGUUGAAACCGUAUGGCUAGAGUCCGGAAGAGGAGAGUGGAAUUCCCGGUGUAGCGGUGAAAUGCGCAGAUAUCAGGAAGAACACCCGCGGCUAAGGCGGCUCUCUAGUACGGUACUGACGCUGAGACGCGAAAGCGUGGGGAGCGAACAGG